rnacentral:tRNA from 1 species
GUUCGUGUAGUUCAGUUGGAUAGAACGCUUCCCUCCGAAGGAAGAGGUCGCGAGUUCGACUCUCGCCAUGAACACCA